UGGGGAAUAUUGCACAAUGGGCGAAAGCCUGAUGCAGCAACGCCGCGUGAGUGAUGAAGGCCUUCGGGUUGUAAAGCUCUGUCUUUUGGGACGAUAAUGACGGUACCAAAGGAGGAAGCCACGGCUAACUACGUGCCAGCAGCCGCGGUAAUACGUAGGUGGCAAGCGUUGUCCGGAUUUACUGGGCGUAAAGGAUGCGUAGGCGGAUUUUUAAGUGAGAUGUGAAAACCCUAAGCUUAACUUGGGGACUGCAUUUCAUACUGGAAAUCUAGAGUGCGGGAGAGGAGAAUGGAAUUCCUAGUGUAGCGGUGAAAUGCGUAGAGAUUAGGAAGAACACCAGUGGCGAAGGCGAUUCUCUGGACCGUAACUGACGCUGAGGCAUGAAAGCGUGGGUAGCAAACAGGAUUAGAUACCCUGGUAGUCCACGCCGUAAACGAUGAGUACUAGGUGUAGGAGGUAUCGACCCCUUCUGUGCCGCAGUUAACACAAUAAGUACUCCGCCUGGGAAGUACGAUCGCAAGAUUAAAACUCAAAUGAAUUGACGGGGUC
rnacentral:rRNA from 1 species